CAGAGUAUAGCUAAUGCAGCAAAGCACCUCCCUUACACUGAGAUGACACCCGUGCAAAUCGGGUUGCCCUGA
rnacentral:tRNA from 1 species